UCAGAGAAAACAAUCAAGGUAAAGAGAUGUAUUUCAGGGUGGCCAAAUCUUGAUCUCCCACACAUCCAAUUUGGUAUAUCUCAAUAUCAGUUGUGAUCAUGAUUGCCACACCCUCUGUUUUUUCAGCCCUGAACCUAUAAUUCAUAGAUUUAUUGGGACAAGACUAGACAGAUAAAAAUGGGGCUACAUCAGCUAAUUCCAGAUUAUUUAAAAAACCACUGAGCUGUCCUCUGGAAUGCUGAUGUUUAUGUAUGAUAUAUAAUGACAGAAACCCACUGGCUUUCAUUUCCUCUGAGUCAUAUUGCUGAAUCAUUGGGUAUAGACAGACCAUUGAUUGUUCACUCUUUGGCACAUUAAACUGGGUUAAAUUUUAUUCUAAUACACCAAGUCAUGCUUUUUAACAGAAAGCAACAAUGAAUUCCACCAAGAGACCACUGGCUUCAGCCAAAAGAAGAAAACACAUCAUUAAGUUAUUUAGCUUUUAGGACAGCCACGUUUAGAAGGCAUAUCUUUGGGUUACCAAAUAUGUCAUUUUUAGCUGAAGAAAUUAGGGCACAACAUUUAGAUGAAAGGAUAAUUAAGAAACAUGCUUGGUUGCUGAGUUGUCUUGUCAUGAAAUUAGGCACUCAGAUUUCCAUAGCCCAGGCAAAAAAAUUUAUUUACCACUAAAUCAAAUUUAUUCACCACUAAAAAGUCACUUACAUUUUAAAGUGAUGUAUAGAAAAAUGGGUGAUGUUUUCAUAGGCUGUGUAAUCUAAUCCUGAGUCAGGUUCCCUUGAUGCAAAUGCAAGUCUUAACCUUAGAUGCCAAGGGCAGGUGGAGGGAGGAGAUGGAGAGGGCGAGAUCACUAAGUACUAAGAUACUGAAUUUUAAACUAGUCUGCAAAUCACGUUUUACUGUGGUAAUGAUCAUCACCAUAAUCGCAAAGCAAGUAUUUUGUCAUGCUCAGUGCAAAAGGUGCAAAAUAACCACUUCAGUCUCUAUUUCUCAGUGGGGGCACUACCAUAAAAACUAUCUUCUAUGUGGGUCAAGUUUUGAACAGGUAAGUAAGGCCUUCGGAAAUGCUGAAGACUCUAAGUAUGACUUUGACAUCGAGUCUUGUCUGAACUGCGGUGGUCACGAAAAUAAAGAAAGAAAAGAAAAUAUCAGAAGAAAAGAAGCUCCAGACUCACAUGUCCCUAGCUGUCAGCUGGGCAAGUCCACAAGCAUAUCCAGCGUGCAACUCGAAAAUCAUCGUGCUCAAAACUGGUAUCAUCUCCCUCCACUUCCCACCUGAUCCUUCUCCUGUGAUUCCCAUCUCAGGAACUGUUCCAGGAGAUGUAACCACCAGUCAUCCUGAAACUGACCAAGCCUCACUGCAAGAGCUACGCCCAUGACCUUUGCCUUAAUUUUAAUGGAAAGAUCUCUCCAGGAGGAGCUUAGCCCUCAUUAUGUGGAAGCAUGUUUUCCAACUGAGCCUGUGCAAGCAAAUACCCACCUCUCUCUUUUGAAUAUUCAUUCCCCAACCAAAUAAAAGUUCCUGCUUCCUUUUUCGGCGACGCCGUGACUUUGGAAAUGAUUCCUCGUGGCGUCCUAUUUGCUGCAAAUAUGCUUUACUUUGUGAGACAACUUCCGCUGGUGUAGAGUCUUAUUUAACUUACCAGGAGGUGAGCCCACUUGGUUUGGUAACAAAGUUACUACUCAAGUAACGGAAGACGUGGAAUGGUGAAUAAAAUCAUUGCAUGGCUAUUGAUCCCAAUUAUCAAA